rnacentral:rRNA from 1 species
UGCCAGCCGCCGCGGUAAUACGAACCGGACGAACGUUAUUCGGAAUCACUGGGCUUAAAGAGUGCGUAGGCGGCUUGGUAGGUUGGGUGUGAAAUCCCACAGCUCAACUGUGGAACUGCGCUCAAAACCACCAAGCUUGAGGAAGGCAGAGGUGAGCGGAACUGAUGGUGGAGCGGUGAAAUGCGUUGAUAUCAUCAGGAACACCGGUGGCGAAGGCGGCUCACUGGGACCUUUCUGACGCUGAGGCACGAAAGCUAGGGGAGCGAACGGGAUUAGAUA